AAUAGGUACCUACAUAUUUCCAAAGUGUAUUUGCAUAUUUAUUUACUUCGCGCACCGUUGUGGAAUUCCCUCAUUGAAUAAUAUAUUCCACCUUCAGCUAACUAACCUAGACAAUUUGUUUUAAUUGAUGCUGUAUUGGAAGUUCCUGGACUUUAAACUUAGUUGGCAAAAACAGUGGAACAAAAAAAUGUGGCAAUUACUUAUGUUAUUUGUGCUGGUAUCAAAUAGUGAAUCUAAAACGUGUGAUGGCGUUAACAACUUGGACAUAAGUUCUGGACAACGUUUUUCAAACGGUGACAUUUAUUACAAUAAACAAAACUAUACACGCUAUCAAUAUUUCACUGACAAGGAAAGAACUUGCGUCUGCAAAGAGAACACUUGUUUAUUGAAGUGCUGUCCCCAUGGGUACGGUUACGAUUUUAAGAGAAAGAUGUGCUUAGAAGUUACAGCUCCAUUCAUCCCUAAAGUUGUAGACGAAUACUUACAAGUCCAUAGCCGCAAUGCUACAGAAUAUUUUGAUUUUAAUUUUGGAAAACCAAAUUGCACGACAUCUCAGGUUCGCAUUCGAUUGAAGGAGAUUUUCCACGACAGAACUGAAAUAAGAACUGAUGGACAGCUGUACAUUGAAGUGCCAACAAAUAUCCCACCGUGGAUUCUGCGCGGCCCUGAGAAAUACUGCGUUGAUACAUUCAUCUUUGAAGAUGGCAAGGGUGCACGAACUACUAGCUUCGAUGCUCUUGUUUGCUUCGCGACAGAGAAAGAUAAAGAAAACUAUGUGCUCAGUUCCACUUGUAUGCUGAUAUCCUGCGUGUUCUUCCUGGCGACUGUCGCGGUUUACGGCUGGUUGCCGGAGUUGCGCAACUUGCACGGACGGGUGUUAAUGGCGUAUCUCCUGUGUCUAUUCGUAGGGUUCAUAUGCAUGUCAACCAUGCAGAUAUUGCUGAAAAUCAAUGACAUCAGCCAAAUAAGUUGUGUUGCUCUUUCGAUUAUGAUCUACUUCUCUCUGUUGGCAGCCUUCUUUUGGUUGAACGUCAUGUGCUUCGAUAUUUGGUGGACUUUUAGUGGUAAUCGUGGUAUGUCCAUGGAGAAAAUGUCGUUGCAAGCUAAAUUCUAUGCGUAUUCUAUAUACGCGUUCGGCAUCCCGACUGCGCUUACCAUCAUGAUGGUGGCCCUGGAGUUCUCUGGUCUUCCGCCACAUCCCCUGCUUCCCUCGUUAAGGCACCAGGGAUGCUUUUUCUCUGGUAAAAGCAAAUUGUUGUAUCUCUACGGGCCGAUUGUUAUCCUAUGGUUCGCAAACAUGGUGUUCUUUGUCCUGACCGCUGUGAAAAUCGCGCAGAUCAAAAAGCAAAUAUCUGUCCUGAAGCACCGGGAAAGUGCCAAGCACGACGGACAGAAUAAAGAAAAGCAACGGCUACUACUUUACAUCAAGUUAUUCAUUGUGAUGGGCAUCAACUGGUUAUUGGAGGUGGUCAGUGCCAUAUAUCCGAAUGCUGAUCAUAUCUUUCGCUUCAUUGACGCGUACAAUGUCCUCAUCGGCCUCAUCAUUUUCAUCAUCUUCGUCUGCAAACGCAAGAUCAUCGGCUUAUUGAAGAAAAGGAUCAAAGAAGGUAUUCUCCGUCGGAAACAAGGAAUAAGCAACAUGACAAUGGUACAUAGAAAUGAUAUUGUAAACAAUCUCAGAAAUUACAAGCAAAGGGACAGUUUAGAUACAAUAAGAACGUGCUGUCCAGAAACCGACAGCAACAAAACUAUAAAUACGACUAACUUAUAAUAAAGUUAAAAAAACAACAGAAACCCCACGACUGCUAAAACGAGAUCAUCAUAAUCUAGUAUUCAAUACUUAGGCAACAUAUCAUGAGAAUGAAAUAUAAGUAACUAAGACUGAAUUGAUCGACUUACAUGAAUGUAACUGAAUGAAUAAUUCGAUAGAAGGAAAAAAAUUCAACGUACAGAACGAAUAAAUUGUUAUAAUAAUUUAAGAAGGAAGAAAUAAUUAACAAGAUACAAGCAAUAUCGUGAAGACCCGUUAUCUAAGAGCCAGGCUUCAACGAGAACGUUCUCCACUCGGGACGAGAUGGCUCUGACGUCAAGAAACCAAUAAGAAUUUUAACUAAACACCUUUGUCAUAUAACUCAGUCGAAACGGUUUAUACAGUCUUUGUCAAAAACAUUGGAAUGCGCUAAUUUUUUUUUUGUCAGUCAUAAUUAGUGUUUAUAAAAAAAAUAACCUUCAUUAAUGCGGUAGCUAUUUUGCAAAAUUUUGAAGAAAUUUACAUGAAUAUUUAAUAUG